GGAUGUGAGGGCCAUCUGGCUGCGACAUCUGUCUUCCCAUUGAUCACCAGGGCCGAUGCGGCUGAUCUGGUUGGCUAGGUGGGUGUCCCCUUCCUCCCUCAGUGCUCCAUGUGUAUCCCUGCUAAAGCUGUGUGCUUUGUCGAGGACAAACUUCCCUGAUGGAGGAGGACUAUUCACGGACAAGUGUAUACAUGUAGCCGCGCUCCCCUUCUAGAAUUUCCAAACAAGCUCUCAGUUCCAUGCAAAAAAAAAAAAAAAAAAAAAAAAAAGAGAGACUGUGAACUAGUGAGUAACUGAACCUCAAGUU
rfam:Felis catus isolate Cinnamon breed Abyssinian chromosome B1, whole genome shotgun sequence.